CCUACGGGUGGCAGCAGUGGGGAAUAUUGGACAAUGGAGGCAACUCUUACCCAGCAACGCCGCGUGAAUGAAGAAGGUCUUCGGAUUGUAAAGUUCUUUAAUUGGGGACGAAAAAAAUGAUGGUACCUAAGUAAUAAGCCCCGGCCAACUUCCGGCCAGCAGCGGCGGUACUACGUAGGGGGCAAGCGUGCUUCGGAAUGACUGGGCGUAAAGGGUGUGUAGGCGGUGUAGUAAGUUAGAAGUGAAAUACCUAGAGCUUAACUCAGGUGCUUCUUCGAAAACUGCUAUACUUGAGUGCAGUAGAGGAAAGUGGAAUUCCUAGUGUAGCGGUGGAAUGCGUAGAUAUUAGGAGGAACACCAGUGGCGAAGGCGACUUUCUGGACUGUAACUGACGCUGAGGCACGAAAGUGUGGGGAGCAAACAGGAUUAGAUACCCUAGUAGUC
rnacentral:rRNA from 1 species